UACGUAGGGUGCAAGCGUUGUCCGGAAUUAUUGGGCGUAAAGAGCUCGUAGGCGGUCUGUCGCGUCGGCUGUGAAAACCUGGGGCUUAACUCCGGGCCUGCAGCCGAUACGGGCAGACUAGAGUUCGGCAGGGGAGACUGGAAUUCCUGGUGUAGCGGUGAAAUGCGCAGAUAUCAGGAGGAACACCGGUGGCGAAGGCGGGUCUCUGGGCCGAAACUGACGCUGAGGAGCGAAAGCAUGGGGAGCGAACAGG
rnacentral:rRNA from 1 species